CUGUACAAAGGUAGCAUAAUCACUUGUCUCUUGAUUGGGGUCUGGGAUGAAUGGCUGGAUGAGAAAUUUACUUUCUUUAUUUUAAAUAUAAAAUUUAACUUUUAAAUUAAAAGGUUUAAAUGAAAAUAUAGGACGAGAAGACCCUAUAGAACUUUACUUGUUAAUUAUCAAUGUUUUUUUGUGAAUGAUUUUUAUUGAUUAUGAUUAUGAGUUUUGUUGGGGUGACAAAAAAAAUCUUUAACUUUUUUUAUUAAUUUCAUUUAUGUGUGAAAAUUUGAUCUUCUAUUAGAAAAUAAAGAUUAAGUUACCUUAGGGAUAACAGCGUUAUUAUUUCGGAUAGUUCAUAUUGAUGGAAUAGUUUGCGACCUCGAUGUUGGAUUAAAGUUAGUUUUAGAAGUAGGAAGCUAAUAGACUAGGUCUGUUCGACCUUUGAAUUUUUACAUGAUCUGAGUUCAAACCGGAGA
rnacentral:rRNA from 1 species